GCCUGGCUGGCUCAGUUGGUAGAGUGUGAGACUCUUGAUCUCAAGGUUGUGGGUUCGAGCCCCACUCUGGAUG